rnacentral:lncRNA from 1 species
CCUAUAUGCUCUACGGCAGGAAGACCUCGUGCACUUACUGCAAACGGGACGCGAAGAGACACACUUGGAAGUACAGAAGCACGAUUUGGGAGCAGAAGGCUGACGGGCCGCUGACGCACACCAACUUUGACGGCGAGGAUGAGGCUGUGCCGACGGCGCCACCCCUGGACGUGCUGGACUCGGUGCCCGGCUACGAGGCGCUCGGGUUCGAUGCCGGUAUCACAUGGAAUAUACGAG